UACGUAGGUCCCGAGCGUUGUCCGGAUUUAUUGGGCGUAAAGAGCGCGCAGGUGGUCAAUUAAGUCUGAUGUGAAAGCCCACGGCUUAACCGUGGAGGGUCAUUGGAAACUGGUUGACUUGAGUGCAGAAGAGGGAAGUGGAAUUCCAUGUGUAGCGGUGAAAUGCGUAGAGAUAUGGAGGCACACCAGUGGCGAAGGCGGCUUCCUGGUCUGCAACUGACACUGAGGCGCGAAAGCGUGGGGAUCAAACAGG
rnacentral:rRNA from 1 species